AAAAAGGCCCAACCUUUCAUUUCCUAAUACCAUAAACAAUGGAUGUACAGAAUACAUUUCAAUUUCUCUCUCUCACCUUUUCCACCGUCACACUCCGACGACGGCACCACCGAAAAUUCACGCCUCCUCUUUUCUGAUAACUUUUGCUCAACUUCUUUAAAAAAAAAUUGAAUUGAAAAAUUGGUUGCAUCAACCCAAAGGCUGAAUUUCUUUCUUUUUCUUAACUCACCCCGUACUCUGGCUACAACAACACCCGAUUGCAGAUCAUGGGCAGAAGCUUUAUAGGUAUUCGAUUGUUUGAUUCGCCAAGUUUCACCAGUAGAAGGCGUGGAUGAGUUUGUAAGUGUCGUUCAUUUUUUUUCUACCAGUUAUUUAUUUAUUUUUUUCCUUCUUUUUGUUUGGAUGCAUUUUUUUAGCAUUCUAUUUAUUCAUACUCGGGAAAUGGGUCUAAGCCACUUCUUAGGUUUUUUCUAAAUUUUAUUUGCCCAAUUUCUUCAGUCUCUGUUUAUUUUCUGUGUGCCGUGGAAAUGUAUCGUUAAUGGAUUGCACCAAUUCAAUUUGUAUUUCUAUAGAAGUACAGAAAGAACCCUUAUCUAUAGAUUUGCAACAUUGACAUUGCUAAAAAUUAUCUAGUCACUCUGCCAAAUUCAGGUUUUGAUAAUGUGUAUAUGGUUGCUGUAUGUGUUUAAAAUUCCAUGUCACAUGAAAGCACAUUUUCUUGAAUGCUAUGCUGCUGAAAUUUUCACAACCAUUGAUGUCAGACUUCUGUACCAUAUUAAAUUUUAGGAUUAAACCACAUCUACAGCACAUCAUGGUUCAUAGCCCCCUCACAAUGAGGGGACCUCACCUCGGUUUUAUUUAUUGUUAAUAUGUGCGGGCCCCCUCCGAUGUGAGGGGGCUGUCAACCGUGCGGUGUGUUGAGCUGUGCACACAGCACGGUCCUAAAUUUUAAACAGAUAGAUGCUGCUGCAAAUUAUGAAUGCUAUCAGUGAACGUUGCAGCAAAUUGAGAAAUGAUGACUUACCAAUUUUGAUUUGCUAUAAACAAGUUUUUAGGGAAAACAUUCAAAUUAAUCAAGAAUGCAUUACAGGUAGCUACUGUGAACUUUUAUGACAGACAACAAUAUCAUCACUUUUAGACAAUAAAGUUUCAAAUGGCACACCAUAUUAGCAUUUUGGCUGCUAAUAAUAGCUGAAACAAUUUUACAGAACAUGUGUUAUUCUGGAUCUCACUGUUGCACUUCAUUACAAUAUCAACAAAAAAUAUGAAGUCUCACAUUGGCAUGUUUGUUUUCUAUUAUUUACCCAUUAAAAUGAAAAAUACGACCAUUAUCCAUCACAUCAAGUCACCAUAUUUGACUUUCUAUCUCUUGUGGGGUUUCGUAACAACUAUAUUUUUCAUUCUUAUUUUUACAUUAAUGUGUACCAAACGAGCUCUAAUACCCAAUAGUUUAUAAAAUAAAACAUUUUGAUCUAUUUUUUUGUAGUUUCUCUUUAACCAAAUCAUUCACUUCUAAAGGUUUGUCCUGUCACUUAUGUGUACGAAUUGUUGAUAUUCUGCAGAAUUAAAGAAUGUAUGAUGCCUAGCGUCUUGUGUUUAUUAAGUUGACACCAUUCUGUAAAAUUAAACAGUAACAAUAACUAGUUAAAAAGUAAAAUCCAACCAAUCAUAGAAAAGAGAAAGUUGGUAUUGAUUAUAAAAUUCUUGUUGAUGGAAUUAGUUUUUCUUUGAAAACAAGUUGAUCCCCAUAUUCGUUUUUAUUUGUCCUUAUAUAUUAUUUUAGAUUUACUGGUCAAGUGAGCAAUUUUUUUCUUAUGGUUUUCUUAAGAAAUCUAAACAUAGCUACCUCAUUUGAGAGAGAUAUAUAUAUUCAUGCUUCUAGAAACAAAUAUGGAAAGCAUAAUCACUUGGCAUUUAUCUGACUUUAUUUCUUUGUAAAACAAGUAAAGCAAAAGUUCAAUUAAAAUAAAAUGAAAUUAGUGAAAUACAAAUCUGAAAACGAAUUAAUUGAAGAAACACAAACACGAGCACACAGAGAAACUUAUAUAUGGCACGCUCCUCGUAUAUAGAUAAGUUGUACAUCAUUCAUAGAAGAUUAAUGUUAUUUGCAAUCGCUCACUAUCUUAGUCGCUUACUAUCGUAGUCGCCCUGUGUGACAUACAUAUGACGAUUAGUGAUUUGAUACAUUAAUGUGGUAGUUUUUAUUACCUUAUAUAACAAUUCAUUAACCUCCACAUGUUUGUCACAUAAGAUAACUGUGGCAGUAAGCAAUUGCCCGUAGCUUUAUUCUUCAUAGAAUCGGUGAAAAGUUAGAACUCUGUUAUCUUUAUUAAUCUUCAUUGUCCCAAAAUUCUUGCACUAGAAUGUUUUUCUCAUAUAAGUAUUUUGCUAGAAAUAUUGUACUGUUCCUUUAUUUCAAAACAAUAUUUCUACUUUUUCUCUCAAAUAAUCUGUUUGAUAAGGUCAAAAUGAUUGUUUUAUCUAUAAUUUUAAUUGAGAAAACUAAUAAGAUCCUUAAUUUAGGGGGUUUCCUCAAUUGAAAUUGGAAUGAAUUUUAAAAUUCUUGUAUAUUCAGGUGAUCUCAAUUGAGAUUUUAAUGAAUUUUAAUGAAAUCUAUUAAAAUUUAGGAGUUUUCAAUUGAUAUUUAAAUUAAAUUCAAUGAAAUUCUUUAAAAUUUAGGUAUUCUUAAUAAUUAAUGAAUUUAUAAUGAUUUCAUUAAUAGAAUGGUUUUAAAAGAUUUGGAUGGAUUUCAAAUUUAAAAAAUACAUAUAAUCAAAACGAUCAAAAAAAGAAAAAAAAAAAGUACAUACAAUCAAAUCUUUUCAAAUUUCAUCAUAUUUGAGGAGAUUUUUAUAGAAUUUGUGGAAAUCUAUUCAAAUUCACGAAAUUUUGUUACUGUUUAUAAUCUUUUAAAAUCUAUCAAAAUUUUAGUUGAAGACACCCUGUCAAACUUUGGCCAUUACAAGAGCACUAUUUUGAGAAAUUGCUUAUCUUAAAAUGCAACGUGAAAAGUUAAAAUUGUUAUAAUAAGCGAUUUUAUUUCUCGAAGGGGUUAUUCUUUGAUGAUCAUAUGAUAUACUAAAGAACCACUGCAAUACAAAGUACAUUGAACUUAACGUCGGUAUAAUUUUUGCACUUGAAAAGGUUGUAUGGAGAUUUCAGAUGUUUGAGAAAAAGAAAGCCGACUAAGAGAUGAUAAAAUGUUUCGAUCAAAUUAAUUGUCACUAAGAUCAAGGGCAUUUAAAGUUCUCAACCUUGACAUUGCUAAUAAUGUGGCGAGAUUAUUUAAUCCAACAUCUGCAAGUGAUGGCGAGGGGGAAAACGAAUGGAUGGAACUAUUGUGCCAACAAAUUGAGGUGUUGAAACAACAUGUUAACAAUUUUCUAUCUUGAUAGUCUGACAAUCACAGAGAUGCAUCGGUUUGUAAGUAGGAGGAGGAGGGCUCUGACGACGAUGAAUGCCUUUUGUUCCUUCUAAUUCUAAGCCAGAGAUGAAAUGUUACUUUUUUAUGAUGCUUUAUAAUUGAUAAGUUCACAAAUACAUUGACGACCAUCCAAUUUGGGAGGAGGAACCUAAUGUUAAUUUGGAGAAAUGGUCCAUAAAAUCCAACUUUAACCUUAAAGCUGCUGAAGUUAGUAAAGCUAGUUUUCGAAAGUAAGUUUGGUGAAGUUGGCUACUUUUACCACCAGUCAAAAUUUUCACCUCCAUCGUGCACUAAUCUAGAAUUUUGCAAUAAUAUUAAUUAUUUUACACAAAUAGUUUACAGUUUUUUUAAUUAAUUUUAUGUUUAAGAUUACAAAUUUGGAUAUUUGGUGAUCUUCACGUCGAGGACAUGUUAAAUUUAUCUAUUUAUUAUUUAUUUAAUUUUUUUGUAAAUAAAUAACUAGCGAAGCAUUAAUAUAAAUCUUUUCGUUAACCAAAUGUUUGAUACUCAACUUCAAUAAUUGUUACACCAUCAAAUCACGUCAAAGGAAAACCUGCAACUGGUUCGUUACUUCGAAUGAUCAAAUCUGGGAAGAAAAAAAAAUGAUAAAAUUGAUUAGAUAGAUGAUAAAAAUAUAUUAGUUACAAAAAAGUUAGUAUAGUAUAAAAUGAUCUUCAUACAAAAUUACAGCAGGUACCUUCAUUUUGAAUAUGGGAAUACUUUCCAGAACACUUGGCCCUCAGAAUUGGAUUGUAUAAAUCUCAAUG
rnacentral:lncRNA from 1 species